UUCAUUAUUUCACUCCAGUUUUAUUCAGUCCAUAGCGAUAAACAUAAGUACAUGAGAGACGGUGUUACAACCCGCGUAGUUCAGUACCGUACGGUGUUCAUUUCUGGAGUACUAUCCGUUUAGGCUACUGUUGGCAUUGUCAACCUUUUCUUUUACCUUACGUACACACCAUUGAAACGUGAUCAAGGGCUCAAGGCAGCCAUCAAGGCCAUGGGAUCUCUCCAUUCGGUGGUGGAGCCGCAGCGGGUGUAUGAUGAGGAUACGGUGGAACACGAUGGCCGCAGGGGAUACCAGGCCCAUAACGGGGCCACAGAGUGCCGGGACGGUGCACGCAGGGAUAGGUAGGUUUCAAACAGCCGGGGCGAUCUAUCCCUGAAAUACACGCUGUUGGGAGCACCCAUGGUUAUUACUGUACUUAUUAGCAAACAUAUACUCGUAUGAAGGAAGUAGCAGCAUGGACGAUGGGCCAACCAGCGUCGCGGGCUCCGUGGCAAACGGAGCUGGCCAUGGCCACUACGAGCAGCGCGAUCUGCAGGAGCGCGAGGAGACGGGCGGUCUUGGUGGAGGACGCCAUCGCACUUUUGCUGGCCGGCCGCUAGCUAGAUGCUUGUCCCUAGGUCAGUCCCUGUGAGUUUGAGUUACGCUGCCGC
rnacentral:lncRNA from 1 species